CUGUGCGUUACGGAGUAUAGCACAGAACGUAUGUCUAAACAUAACGCACCGCACAAAACAGGUAUAUGUGCGGUUCGUUCAUGCGUGUGGUUGUCACGUGAGUGAUGGUCACUCAGGUGAACAUAGGCGGGAAUUUGCACGGGGUGUUCAUUGUUUGGUCAGUUCUACGCUAGACUUCGAUCAGUAAACUUGUGUUCGUGUACAAAUCCUACAUCGUGUUGUCGACUUUAGCAGAACACAAGGUGUCCAUGCUGCAAGAUUUGGAACGCAUCAUAGAAAAGAUAAGUGCUAAAAGAAACGUAAAUCUGUUAAAUCCGUUAUACUGAAUCUCGAGCAUAGUAUCGAGUGUUACGAAGUAGUAACAGAGUUGAAACAAUGUAUAUUUCAAGUAACAAUUUCAGCACAAGAGAAAGCCGAUCAAUUUACAAAUAGAAAUAUUGAUGGCACGUGACCGAAAAUUCACAGUUCAUUAAUGGUAGAACACGACAAAAGCUUUCGAACUUACUGGGGAAUAAAUUGCUAUUCUUUGUGGUGUUGUAUACAUUCUAUAUGUAUAUUUGUAAAUGUUUUACGAGUCUGAUGACGUAAUGUUAUUUGCAGAAAAAUACAAGGUAUAGGCGAUGGCAUAUAAAAAGGCGGAAACAUAACGCCACGCGGCGCUCUUGACGGGUCAUAUCAGAAGCCGGAAGCUUCAUCUAACAUCGCAACACAAGGGGCUGAAACUCAAUUACCAUUGAGACGCACAGGACCAUGUUUCGCAUGUGGCGAACCGGGUCAUCGGAAAGGAGCAGCUGGAUGUUCAGCAAACAGCUCGACCAAUAAGAAAUGUUUUGAGAGGUACUCUGAAGGAGCGAUUAGAGGGCUCGGGCUUGCAUGGGCUUCGAAGAGAUUAGAUGGCGGACAGAAUGGCUAAGUAAAUACUUAGAACAAUCAAGAGCAGACAAUACGGUGAAGAAAAGAAUUCUUCAUGUGCACAUUUCAAAUACUGUGAAGAAAAUGUAGUCGCCAUGCCAGCCUAACAUAUAUCAGUAGUAAUGUACAUGGCUCAAUUGAUGGGUCGAGGAAAUCUAAUAACGUUUUUUACAUCUGUGUUUUACAGUAUUAAAUGGAUCCAUUCUAUUAAUAGUGUACAUGAUCCAAAGAAAGAUUUAACAAACUAUUAUAAGAAGCUUCAAAGCGUGUGUGUUUCAAACCAUCUCACAAGAAAGAUGUAUUAUGUACAUGUGCAUUCAUUAGAGAUGAUACAAACAUUGUGUUUGAUAUAAGGAGAUUCCGCUGUUUUCAUUGAUUGAUCAUUUUUUGGGUUAUGCAUGUACAUGUAUCAUGCAUAUUAACAAAUUAAGUGAGUUUCAUUGUAAUGACCUACAAUUGAAAUAUAAUCACUUUGUUAUUAAUGUACGCCAUUAUAAUACUGGCAUGUAUACGAAUGGUCCGGAUAUUAUAAUCGCAAAAUGUACAACUACAAAUUCCCAUAUGGCGUUUUAUUAACAAAUAUGUAAUUAGCAAAUUGGUCAGAUGAAUGAUUUUUUGUUCAAACCAGUUAUUGGUUAUAUAAAUGUAAUUAUUAAGACUAGCUAACGCCAAGGGCGUGUUUUAGUGAUGUUUGAAGCGACAUUGUCGAUGGAAGUCUGAUAGGGCUAAAGAUGAGUACUUUGAUGAUUCUCUAGACAAAAAGCUUUUUAUCACUAGACAAUUGAAAUUAUAAUUGAUUUGCGGUUCGAAUUUUAAACCUUACUAACCUUUGUUUUUGUUCUAUCGCAAGCCUUGCCCAAUGCAAAACGUGUUGUGUUUUGUGCUUAGUUGUGUGAAGACUUUUCAGUUCUGUGCGUUACGGAGUAUAGCACAGAACGUAUGUCUAAACAUAACGCACCGCACAAAACAGGUAUAUGUGCGGUUCGUUCAUGCGUGUGGUUGUCACGUGAGUGAUGGUCACUCAGGUGGACAUAGGCGGGAAUUUGCACGGGGUGUUCAUUGUUUGGUCAGUUCUACGCUAGACUUCGAUCAGUAAACUUUUACUUUUUCGGCGUCAGCUGAAUACGCCAGCUUUUCACCUUAGCCUGACCUUUGUUAGCGUCCAAUAUAAUUCAAAUAAAACUUCCCGCGGCCAAGUACAGAUGAAUACACUUCAUUGACUGCAUUGGCUGAUUUGAUAAUACCACUAGAACAUUGGAAACAUGUCCGCGUCUUUGUAGCACUGUUUUACUGCGUGUUCAGCAUGAAACAGUGUUAUCUCUAAUAAAAAGGCUUUAUAGAUAGAACAGUUUUACACUCAAUCUCGACAUCAAUACAGUUUGUGCGUACAUCUUUUAUUUUCAGAGGAUUUUCAGCGCGAGAACGUUGUGUACUUAAAGGCCAUGUUCUCAAAUUUAGUACUGACUUCCAUAAUCCUGUCAACAUGUUAUAUGUAAAAGUAUAAAGAGCAGUGGAAGCGAUGCCUCACUUUAAUGUGUUGCAUUUCAACCCUCGAGGUAUAAGGGGUCAGUUCGCGGUUAGUGUGUUUGAAUGUCAGAGUUUAUAUACAGGUCAGACCUUCUGUGCUGUUCGGAGUUCGCGGUCAGUUAUAUAAUAGUUAUAUAAUAAAGACGCUAUAGCGUGAACUAGGUGAACCAGAAUUUUCUUUACCACCAGAAAGAUGUGAAAUGAAGAUAUCCAGCGAUAUUAUUUUAUGGCAUGUCAAUAAUAGAUUCUUCAUGUGUUUUCAACAAUACCAUGAUAAAUAUUAUUUUUAAUUAAUUAACAAGAAUUAUUCCAUCAUAUUUACUAAUGUAUUAUUGCAGCAUAUUGACUAAUGUAUUAAGUAUGAGCGCGAUGAUUCUCGAUACUGUUAAUAAUCGAAUCAUAUACACGUAGCGAUUCCCGAUAAACCACUCAAACAGGUUUGUUCGAAGAACGCGCGUAUACAUAUUUAAAAUAUGUACGGAGACUUCGCGUGUGGCCGGUUGACUUUGUUUUUCUUUUUUGUAUCUAUAGGUUUAUGACCAGCAAUAUGUAAUAAUGUAAAAUAAGCCGCGAAAACUCCGCGUAACAUCCCGUACUGCGUUUGAUGCAGCUAAAAACUGCACAGAAAGAUAUUAGCUAUCCUUGAUCGCAUUCAUUUAAAUCUUUACCUUCCAUAAACUCCAACCACAAUCAACGCCGUAUAUCUUUUUUAAAGAUAUUUCUUGUUUAAAAUUCGAACCGCAUUAGUAGUAAAUUGGCUCAAAUGACAUGUUAUGUUUGUGUGACAUAAUGUUAAGUUACAUGUUAAUAUUGGUUGUUUUCAGGUACAGUUUUCCAGAGUUAUUUUACAUUGGGCUUCUGAUGAAUUUUUAUCUCUGGUUUUUACCCUGGCCUUGAAAACACCAAUUAAGGACACAAUACUAGAAGUGAUGUAUACACAUUAUAGUUAUAAUUUGUUAUAUAAUUUAUAGAUCGAAAAUUGUCCUGUUAAGGUUGUACUACGAUUGUACUUUAUUGCUAUAUGAUACGAAUAUGUAAUAUUCGUGGAUGUGUGUUGUCAAUAAACUGAUCGCAAGCCUUGCCCAAUGCAAAA